rnacentral:tRNA from 1 species
GGUGUGGCCAAGUAGGUAAGGCAACGGACUUUGACUCCGUGAUUCGCAGGUUCGAAUCCUGCCACC